rnacentral:ribozyme from 1 species
UGCCCAGCAACUCCUAUCCCUACCUCCUCGCGGUACUGGCCGGGGUACAAGCAACCGGAUGUCGCAGCGGCAUACGCGCAGCACCUCGAGGCUGCAUUACCGGAAGAUGG